AAAAAAAAAAAGCAAAGAAAUGGAAAUAAUGAUAAAUACCCAACAAAAGAAGAAGAUUUAAAUAAAUGAUGGUACACACUCAAGGGACUAAACAGGCAGCCAGUCAACUGAAGCCUGAGAUAUAACAUUGUCAAAAGCAGGGUACAAAACUGGAGACACAGUAUGUGGUACCAUAUGUAAAGACGAGCCCAAUCUGUGCAAAGAAAAAAGAUCAAAUGGAAAUAUGUCAAUGUUCACACCAGUGAUGUUUUCAGCAGUAGGGUCAUAGAUGACUUUUUCCUUUUGCCUACUUUUCUGGACUCAAAUUUUCCUUAAUGAAUAUAUAUUACUUAGAUUAUUUAUUGCCACAGUUAAUUACAACAGAAAACAAAUCUCAUGCUCCAAAGAGAAAUUUGAAAUUUUGCAUACUUUCCUUGUAACGGUUUAUAGCUCAUAGCAUUUCCCCCUCACCCCAAGGAAAAAAAGACUUGAAGCUUACUUAUUAUGGUAAAACACAUAAUAUAAAAUUUACCAUUUUAACUAUCUUUGAACGUACAGUUCACUAGUGUUAAGUAUAUUCAUUGUUGUGCAACUAAUCUCCAGAAUUUUAAUCUUGCAAAACGGCAUAAUCCAUUUUUUAAAAGCCUUCUGCAUUUAUUAUUACAACUUUCUCUGUCUGUAAGGUAGAUUAACUGCGUUGCCCUUUUGUUAUUUUCUUCAGUUUGCUCUGUUUUUUCUUUUGUUUUGAAGCAUUGUCUUCUGAAAAAGCCAAAGACCUGAAGCUGCAACAGGGAUAGCAGGGGAGGAGAGGGCAGCAGGUGCUGGGACAAGGAGUAAGAGAGGAGGACGCAAGGAUACCCAGAGCAGACACAGCUAGGCCCACCAGAACCCAGUACAGCCUGGGGGCUUCCCUUACUCCAAGCUGCCCUUCUGAGGAAUGGCCUUGCUUGGCCAACAGAACUGCCACCUGAUACCAACAUUCCCCAAAGGCAGAAUGGAGAGAUGUCACAUUGCCUCAAGAAUCCAUGAAUAUAGAGCUUCCUGCCUGCAGCCCCACCUCACUCUCUUGCAAAACUGUCUGCAGUGGCCUAGGCCUGGGGGGCGGGGCGGGGGGUGGGGGGGCUGACUCACUAUCACACAACACCAGAGCAGCCCUGUCCCUGGGGAAAACAAAACCCAGAGGACAGAAACAAGCUAGGAUCAGAACCUAGGCCCUCCGACUCCGACCCAAGUCAUUCCAUCAACAUUUGCUGAAUGCUGCAGACAGAUCACCUACUUAGCUCACUGAUGGCUAGUUCUUCAAAAGGUUUAUCAAGAGUGCAAAAGGCAGUAGAAAAGGAUAAGGUCGAGUCAAAGGGCGGGGCCAAGACCAGCGGGAGUGCACUAACUAUGCAACGCUCCAAAGCUGUGAUCUGAGAAUGUCAGUGCUGGGAGGAACCUCUGAGAAACACCUCUCCAGAGCUCAACAGGCUGACGGUUCUGAAAUGUGUUCUGGCUUAGAACUUCUAGGCACAUCAACUGAGCAGAGAGGAGAGACCAAGAGGUCUGGAUCCAGCUCUGGGACUGAGCCCCUGUACAAUCACGUAGCACAGAAAGAUGACCACUCACUCCGGCCCACAGCACUGGCAGUAAAAGAAGUAGGAAUCCUCCAACUCAGGAGGUGGGUUGGAGUCCUGAGGAAGAGAUUUACCUCAAAUCAGGAAGAGAUUUACCUCAAAUCAGCCCCGAGUUCCACUCCAGGACCCUGGGGCAAAGAAUGCAGGAUCAAAGGGAGCUUGGAUGAGGUAAUGACAGUAGGAGGGGAAUCCAGGACAAUGUCUGUUAGGCCCCCAGUUUCUGGAGUUCUCCCCACAAGGCUAAUGUGGCAACAGGCAGACAGGAUCAAAUCCCACAAUGUUUCAACAAAGUCAUCAGCUAAGCCUGUCAAAUCGGGAAGGCCCCAGCAACCCCAAGGUUCACAGAAGCCACAGAGGAGGAGACUGAGGCUGAGCUGGGCAAAGCACAGGGAGGCAGAUUUCAGUUUAACCUCGAGAGCCAGAUCCCUCUGUGGAAAGGGCUCAAGGGGCCACAUGAUUUGUCAGGAUUACACAGACCUAAUUUCAAUCCUCUGCCACUUACUAUCUUAAUGACCUUGAGCAAGCCACCCAAACUCUUCAUUCCUUCCAUCAAAAGACAUCAGGCACCUUCUAAGUACCAGCCACUAGACUAGAUCCUUGGGAUACAAUUCUGGAAAAACACAGAUCUGGCCUCUGUCCUCAUGGAACCUAAAGCUAGGGGAGACUGACACUAAAAAAAUUAAUAUUUACAUAAGAACUAAUUACUAAAAAGGCUAAAAUAAAGAAUUAAUUAUUAAAAAGGCAUUAAAAGAGCUAUGAAAAACACUGCAGUGAAAGGGGUUCCUAACCAAGCCUAGGUCACCUGAGAAGGCUUCUCUGAGGGAGCGAUAUUUUAGGCUGAGAGGUAAAGGAUGGGCAGGGGUUAGCCAGACGAAGAAAGGCGGAAGUGGAGGCCCUGAGGCAGGAAGGAGCUGGUGCACUUGAAACACUGAAAGGAAACGAGUGUGGCUAGGGAGUUGUGAGAAAGAGGAAAGCAGUAAAACCUUAUUGGCCACAUGAAGAAUUCUGGACUCAAAACAGGAAGUCUUCUACAGGCAAGUUUAUUUAAGUAAGGACUGACAGGAUCAGACUCAAAAUUUUAAAAGAUUACUCUGUCUUCUGUGUGAAAAACGGAUUGGAGAUGAGAUCAACAUAGACUCAGAGGACCAGCUAAGAGACAACUGCAAUUCUUUAAAAGUAACAGACAACGGAGGCCUGUGUUAAGGUGAGAAGACUGAUGCCCAAGCAGGAAGAGAGCCCCGCCUGAGGCCAGAGAGAGCUGGUGGCAGAGCUGAGCCAGUGCCUAAUCAGUUCGAGCAGAUGAUUUCAGAAACACUUGACAAACUGAAUAAAAUAACCACUUCUCAGGGCUACUGUAGAGGAGAUUCCAUGUCACAGCGUGGUCUGAAAUGACUUCAGACAACAGAUGGCAUCAAGAGAGAAUUGGCAUUUACUCGUGAUUAUGAUUUGUUGUUCUACAUCUUGCUCUGUGUGUCAGGUCAAACCAUUCUCAGAGGAGGACCAAGGGAAGAACCAGACCUAGUUCCUGACCUGGAGGGCAGAACAGCUCCAAAAUCAACUAUGACUCUCUGGGAUAGGAGCUGUGAUCAGAGAAUGUACAAAAGACUAUGGAAAAUGACUAGGACGGAAAAUGUGGUAUAUACAUACAGUGGAAUAUUAUUCAGCCCUAAAAAGGAAGGAAAUUCUGACACUUUACAACAUAGGUGAACCUUGAAGACCUUAUGUUGAGAGAAAUAAGCCAGUCACAAAGGACAAAUAUUGUAUGAGUCCACUUACAUGAGGUACCUAGAGUGGUCAAAUUCAUAGAGACAGAAAGUAGAAUGGUGCUGCCAGGGGCUGAGGGGAGGGGGGACUGCAGAGUUAUUGUUUAAUGGGUAUAGAGCUUCAAUUUUGCAAAAUAAAGGGUUCUAUGAAUGGAUGGUGUUAAUGGUUGCAGAACAACGCAAAUAUAUCAAUGCCACUGAACCGUACACUUAAAAAUGGUUAAGAGGGUAAAUUCUAUGUUAUGUGUAUUUUACCAUAAUUCUAAAAAAAUGACUAGGGCUGCUACUGAAGUGGGUGAUAGUGGUGCUAGUAAAAGCUGCCCUUGGUCACACUUGGUACAUUGUAGAUGGCUGAUAAAUAACUGUUGCUUGAAUAAAUAAAUGAGUUGGCCAAUGAAUGCAUGGAAGGCUCAAGUUUCCUGUCUUCCUCAAAUUGCCUUCCCCAAAGCAUUGAUCAUAUUCUGGCUUCAAGGCCAGGGAUAUUCUCGAAAUUCAGGUUGUCAUGGCUCAGGGGCCCAGGUGUUUCCCAGCAGACCAAGGCCCACUUGACCAAAGACUUGGGCAGAAUAAGAGAGUCCCUGAAAGUCUCAGGGUUGGAAAGAACUAUAAAGGUAGUGCAAUCUAUCUCCUUUUUUUUUUCCUUUUUCUCCCCAAAGUCCCCCGGUACAUAGUUGUAUAUUCUUUGUUGUGGGUCC